rnacentral:lncRNA from 1 species
UAAAAGCUUGCAGCCCAACAUUAAAUCAUAUAUCCGUGAAAGUAUUUCUGAAAGAAACUAAGCUAAUAUCACUCAGAUGUGUUAUUCGAGCUGACCUGACUUGAUAUGGAGACUCGACUAAGAGAAAUUAGAGAAAUGAAUAGUUAAUAUAUUUUUAGCCUCCAUUAUUAUAUCUCAACGGAGCUGAUGGCAAGUGUUGGCUUACAGUCAACUCUUGAUUAGACUUCCUGACACAGCCUGAAGAAGCAAUAUUAUGUUUUGUUUAUUAGAAAGAAAUCCUAAUGCUUUAGAUGCCAAGCAUUGAGGCAGCUGGCAAAUCUGUUUUAAAAGUGUAGAAGCCUGUCAUAUUCUCAGCAAGAGAAACAUUGUAAACUAUAUGUAGGUGAGUCCCAGGCAGAUAUAGAAUUGAAUCUCAUUUUUUUUUCUUUAUAGGAACAGACAUGGAUUUAUCUAAAUUCCCCUUAUGGACAAGCAAAAGUCCUAGGAACUACGACUGAGUUUGGGUGAGACUGGCUCAGGUUUUCCGGCCCGUGUAGUUGAAGAAAUUAACUGUUACCUAUGAUAAGCCUGCUCAGACAAUAUUCAAUCAAGAUCUGAAAGAAAUAUUCAGUUGAGACUACAACCAUUACCAUUACUACAAAGGUUUUGGGGUUUUAUUUUAUUUUUCUCUGAUAAAUGUGUAAGAGAAAAAUUUGAAAUAGAAGUUCAUUAGAAUAGGUUAACUUAAGGAUUAUAAGAUUAAAAUACCAUUCAUUUGAACUUAAAUUAUACUUUUAUACACUUUUUGUAUUAUAAACAAUUUCUGUAUUUAUCUAUUCAUAGUGUAUUAAGAGUUAAUAGUGAAUUAUAUGUACAUGGGCAUUGUGGAAGAUAAUAGGUCAAAAAUCAGUCAAAAUUCAUUGAGAAAGUUGCUAGUACUGCACUUUGAGAAAAUAAUCAGGAAAAUGGCUUUCUAAUUCCGGGUAGGUAAAAUAUUUCUCAUUAAUAUAAAAUACACUAAACUUUGAGUCUAUCCUAAGGAAAGUAUGUCUGAAUUUUUCGUUACAAUAACAUAGAUAUGGUCCAACCACUCAGUGUUGAGAUUGAGAUA